rnacentral:rRNA from 1 species
UUGCUCUUCAACGAGGAAUUCCUAGUAAGCGCGAGUCAUCAGCUCGCGUUGACUACGUCCCUGCGCUUUGUACACACCGCCCGUCGCUCCUACCGAUUGAAUGGUCCGGUGAAGUGUUCGGAUCGCGGCGACGUGGGCGGUUCGCCGCCAGCGACGUCGCGAGAAGUCCACUGAACCUUAUCAUUUAGAGGAAGGAGAAGUCGUAACAAGGUUUCCGUAGGUGAACCUGCGGAAGGAUCAUUGUCGAAACCUGCCCAGCAGAACGACCCGCGAACCCGUGACACCACGCCGAGGGGCGGAGGAGGGGUGCGAGCCCCGAUCUCCCUCCCUCUUCGGGUCGAGCGGGCCGUCGUUUUUCCGUGCGUCCGUUGCCCGAGCCCUCGGCACGUGGCACGGCGCUCGGGGGGCGGCAGCCUCGCAGACCCGACCAAACAACGAACCCGGCGCGAACGGCGCCAAGGAAAUCGAAAACGGAACGGGCGUGCCUUCGCUUCACCGUCGGUGUUGCGGGGCGUCGUCAAAACUCCGAUCUCAAAACGACUCUCGGCAACGGAUAUCUCGGCUCUCGCAUCGAUGAAGAACGUAGCGAAAUGCGAUACUUGGUGUGAAUUGCAGAAUCCCGUGAACCAUCGAGUCUUUGAACGCAAGUUGCGCCCUAGGCCAUUAGGCCGAGGGCACGCCUGCCUGGGCGUCACGCAUCGUGUCGCUCCCCCCGGCCACCCCACGGGAUGGCCGGUUUGGGAGCGGAGAUUGGCCCCCCGUGUGCCGUGUGCGCACGCGGCCGGCCUAAAAGCUGGGCCCCUGGCGGUCGACGUCACGACGAGUGGUGGUUGACACGUGAUACCCCUUGCCUUAUCGGACGUCGUGCACGCUCGACCGCACGCGGGGCCCCGGAGACCCCGAAGAACCGUCGUCAAGGACGACGCUCUCACUGCGACCCCAGGUCAAGCGGGGCCACCCGCUGAGUUUAAGCAUAUCAAUAAGCGGAGGA